CGGACGGGUGAGUAAUACAUCGGAACGUGUCCUAAAGUGGGGGAUAACGCAUCGAAAGAUGUGCUAAUACCGCAUAAUCUCUGAGGAGAAAAGUAGGGGAUCGAAAGACCUUAUGCUUUUGGAGCGGCUGAUGUCUGAUUAGCUAGUUGGUAAGGUAAUGGCUUACCAAGGCGACGAUCAGUAGUUGGUCUGAGAGGACGACCAGCCACACUGGGACUGAGACACGGCCCAGACUCCUACGGGAGGCAGCAGUGGGGAAUUUUGGACAAUGGGCGCAAGCCUGAUCCAGCAAUGCCGCGUGAGUGAAGAAGGCCUUCGGGUUGUAAAGCCCUUUCAGUUGAAAAGAAAAAGUCGUGACUAAUAAUCAUAGCCCAUGACGGUAUCAACAGAAGAAGCACCGGCUAACUACGUGCCAGCAGCCGCGGUAAUACGUAGGGUGCAAGCGUUAAUCGGAAUUACUGGGCGUAAAGGGUGCGCAGGCGGUUCUGUAAGUCAGAUGUGAAAUCCCCGGGCUUAACCUGGGAACUGCGUUUGAAACUGCAGAGCUAGAGUGCGGCAGAGGGAGGUGGAAUUCCAUGUGUAGCAGUGAAAUGCGUAGAGAUAUGGAAGAACAUCGAUGGCGAAGGCAACCUCCUGGGCUAGCACUGACGCUCAUGCACGAAAGCGUGGGGAGCANNNAGGAUUAGAUACCCUGGUAGUCCACGCCCUAAACUAUGUCAACUAGUUGUCGGGUCUUAAUAGACUUGGUAACGUA
rnacentral:rRNA from 1 species